CGUAGCGGCUGUAGAGUUGUUAGUAGAGUUCAUCUAGAUGCAUGAUAAUUAAAGACAUAACGGAGCCGUUUGCUUAAUGGAGUCUUCAUAACAGAUCUAAGUAAAUGAUAAUUGUCAUUUGAAAUCCGAAGCUGAGAAAUAUCAAGAAAAUUAUUUUCUUACGAAAUGAUAAGGACAGGCAAUCUUAGCAAUCCCAUUGAGAUCCUGGAUGUCCAUGUUUGUUGUUCUACAAGAGAAACAAACACAGAAUUAAGUAAAAAUGAGCAGUGAAAUUCAUACAAGAGCCAGACUUAGUUAAUCAGUCGGUAACAGAUUACUAAACUCUCUUUUAUUGAAUGUGUUUAUAUAUAUUAGUAAGUGUGGAUCCUAGGCAACCACAGUCUUUCUCACUGAGUGAACAGUGUCAGUCAUCUAGGAUAGUCCAUUUUCCUAUGUAGAACGUCUUUUGACAAUGCUGUUUGCCUGAAGUAUUCAUCUAUUACAUGUUUGUUGUAUAAAAUCGUCAAA